rnacentral:rRNA from 1 species
AGCAGCCGCGGUAAUUCCAGCUCCAAUAGCGUAUAUUAAAGUUGUUGCAGUUAAAAAGCUCGUAGUUGAAUUUCGGGAUCAGGUUGUUGGUCGUGCCUCGGUACGCACUGGCAUUAUUGGUUCCUACCUUCUGAAGAACCGCGAUGUCAUUAAUUUGGUGUCGUGGGGAAUCAGGACUGUUACUUUGAAAAAUUAGAGUGUUUAAAGCAGGCGCACGCUUGAAUACAUUAGCAUGGAAUAAUGAAAUAGGACGUUUGAUUCUAUUUUGUUGGUUUCUAGGAUCGACGUAAUGAUUAAUAGGGAUAGUUGGGGGCAUUAGUAUUCAAUUGUCAGAGGUGAAAUUCUUGGAUUUAUUGAAGACUAACUACUGCGAAAGCAUUUGCCAAGGAUGUUUUCAUUAAUCAAGAACGAAAGUUAGGGGAUCGAAGACGAUCAGAUACCGUCGUAGUC